GGCGCAACUCGGGCUAAAAAGCGUCGAGAUGCUGUAAUUGCCGUUAGCAAUACUUUUUUUUGUCACUAGAUGCGUAAGAGUACGUUUACACAUACACAAUUACACAUAAACCGCCAGAUGGUCUUACUGUGUAUGUGAAUUGGGGUGUUGGAAGACGGUAAGAGAGCCAUUUCCUGAAAGACCGCCUUGUUUUCUUCCCUUACUCACCAAAUAAUCUUCUCGGAUAAUUUAUUGGUUAAGUAGAAAGUCACUCACUAAAUGAGCUGUAUUGGUGGAAAACACUGCGAUCUAGAAUGAAUUCUUUGCCCCCUUUCUGUCACUGCACUGAUAAGAUUUAGGCUUAUCAAAGCGAUGUGUCGUGAAAUCGAGCGACCUCCAAACGAGCCCACAUUCAAUUAUUUCUCUGAAGUAAUGAUUCAAGCAACAGGAAAUGAAUAUGUGGAUUCACGCUCGAUUUGAUUCUCAACUAGGAGCGAGGCGGUCAAUCUAAGUUGGUCAAUCUUAGAUCUUGGUGAAACCAAUACGAAAAUCUGUCUAAUAACCAUGAGGUGCCAAACAACUUCAUUUGUGGUUGCAAGGUAUUUGUGUAGUAAACAUAAAGUUUAAUUAGAACAUUAAUGAGUUUAUAACUUUACUGGUUAAGCGAAUCUGUAUAGAUGAGUAAAGUUCAUUUUAAUUUCAAAGGUUUUUUGUUUCUAUUUUUAAUUUUAUUGUCUUAUCUCUUUAAUAAUGUUGUUGUUUUGCCCUCUAUCGUGACUAUAGAUGUUUUUCACUCCUUUAUCGGGUGCGUAGGGCUGGGACCGUAGCGGCUGUUGCGCUUUGGUACAACACCGCUGGGUGUCAACCCUGACGCACGGCAAUUUGACAGAAUUUGAAGAAAACUUUUUUUGUUAAACACGACCAACCGAUCAGCUCACUGUUGUUAGUAAUUGAUGGGCAUUGAAACAUAUGUUUUAGCGUUAUAGUGUGGUUGUAAAACUAUGUAUUUCAGGACAGGGUUUCAACUGUUUCUUUGAGCAUUACAAGCCUUUAUGAGA